rnacentral:rRNA from 1 species
GACAGAGGCCUCAAGCGUUAGGCGGAAUCACUGGGCUUAAAGCGUGUGUAGGCGGAUCGUUAAGUGUCUUGUGAAAUCCCACGGCUCACCCGUGGAACGGCUGGGCAUACUGGCGAUCUUGGGCCAACUAGGGGCAACUGGAACAAGCGGUGGAGCGGUGAAAUGCGUAGAUAUCGCUUGGAACGCCAAAGGUGAAAACAGGUUGCUGGGGUUGUGCC